rnacentral:rRNA from 1 species
CCUACGGGUGGCAGCAGUGGGGAAUAUUGCACAAUGGGGGAAACCCUGAUGCAGCAACGCCGCGUGAAGGAAGACGUUUUUCGGAUUGUAACCUUUUGUUCUUAGUGACGAAUAAUGACGGUAGCUAAUGUGCAAGCCACGGCUAACUACGUGCCAGCAGCCGCGGUAAUACGGAGGUGGCAAGCGUUGUCCGGAAUUACUGGGUGUAACGGGAGCGCAGGCGGGAAGCCAAGUCAGCUGUGAAAACUACGGGUUUAACUUGUAGACUGCAGUUGAAACUGGUUUUCUUGAGUGAAGUAGAGGUUGGCGGAAUUCCGAGUGUAGCGGUGAAAUGCGUAGAUAUUCGGAGGAACACCGGUGGCGAAGGCGGCCAACUGGGCUUUAACUGACGCUGAGGCUCGAAAGUGUGGGGAGCAAACAGGAUUAGAUACCCCUGUAGUC